UAGGGAAUCUUCGGCAAUGGGGGAACCCUGACCGAGCAACGCCGCGUGAGUGAAGAAGGUUUUCGGAUCGUAAAGCUCUGUUGUUAAGGAAGAACGAGUGUGAGAAUGGAAAGUUCAUACUGUGACGGUACUUAACCAGAAAGGGACGGCUAACUACGUGCCAGCAGCCGCGGUAAUACGUAGGUCCCGAGCGUUGUCCGGAUUUAUCGGGCGUAAAGCGAGCGCAGGCGGUUAGAUAAGUCUGAAGUUAAAGGCAGUGGCUCAACCAUUGUAGGCUUUGGAAACUGUUUAACUUGAGUGCAGAAGGGGAGAGUGGAAUUCCAUGUGUAGCGGUGAAAAUGCGUAGAUAUAUGGAGGAACACCGGUGGCGAAAAGCGGCUCUCUGGUCUGUAACUGACGCUGAGGCUCGAAAGCGUGGGGAGCGAACAGGAUUAGAUACCCUGGUAGUCCACGCCGUAAACGAUGGGUGCUAGGUGUUAGGUCCUUUCCGGGACUUAGUGCCGCAGCUAACGCAUUAAGCACUCCGCCUGGGGAGUACGACCGCAAGGUUGAAACUC
rnacentral:rRNA from 1 species